ACCUGUACAUCUUGUUGUUUGAUCUUUCUGUUGUUGUCUUCAUUCUAUGAUGGUAAAAUUGUGUGUGUCCAAAUUUGGGUCUGAAACUUCAGGUUUUGCAAAGGAAAACAAGAAGCAAGUGGCGUAUAAGCAUUAGAGUUAAGAAAGGCUGCAGCAGGCAGCGAGCAGCAGCUGGGUAAAGCAAAUUUGCUGAAAGAAAAAAAACAAGAGAGAGAGAGAGAGACAUAGAGAGAGAGAUAGAGAGUUGUAAGGAUAAGUGUAAAGGGUUUUAGGUGGGGUUGGGGUUUAUUUGGUGGUUGGAAAAUGAUGAAAAGGCUUUUUUGGGUCUUUGGGGGAGUGAUUAAAGAAAAACCCUAAUUCUUUGUCCUACUCAUAGUCAUACAUACCUACUUAAAAUGGGUAUCCAGAAAAAGGGUUGUUGAGAAAUCUCUAUGUUUGUAUAUAAAAGAUGAUUUCAGAUCUGUCUGUAGAGUUUCAAAGGAGGGGUGAUCUGUAUGAAGCAGCAGUUGGGUGGCGGUUUGGUUUUUCCCAUUUAAUUCAUGAUUUCACUUUUUUGUUUCCAUUUCUGGUGCAUUUUCAGGCAGUUUAGCUAAAGAUGGUAAAGAUCAUGUGUAUGGGAAUUGGUGGGGGAAAGAGUGGAUGAUAAUUCAGGAUAAGAAGAGGAGGAGGGACACAGAGAGACUGACAGAAGAGAGUGAGCACACGCAGGCAAUUGUAUGAAAAGCCAUACCUUUGCGGGUGCGUGCUCACUUCUCUUCUGUCAGCUUCAGCUUUUGCAUUGUGUUUCCUCACAAUGUUUGUUAUUUAUAAAUACCCCUCUUUUUCUUCUUCUUUCUCUCUCUCACUCAAUCUCCACAGAUGACGCCUUCGAGUGUCUAUUUUUCCAGAUGUUUUUGUUUUCAUCCAUCCACAUGUCCUCCCUUGUUCUUCGGAUAAGAAUGAGUCACUGCUCAAAAAACAAGUACACCGGCAAACAAGGGUCAGAGAGAUAGAGAUGACAUAAAAAAAGCAGGCUUUUUUGUUGUUCAACUAUAUCAUGAAAUAAGUCUUUUCUUCUUUCUCAUCCAACGAAACCCUCUUAAACCCUUUCUUCUGCUUUAGACAGAGAUUGAAAUCCCCCAUUUUUAUGUGUGUGAGAUAAGUCAUAAGAUAAGUCAUAAGAUAGCAAAGAGGAAGAGUACUGUUGUUGUUGUUGUAUGGCAAAGUGAUAAAAGAGGGAAGUAAGCGUGAUCAUAAGCUCUUUUCUGUUUUUGGGGUUAUCAUUUAUCAAGUAUUGUGUUUGCGUUAUUAAUUGAUAAAUUUUGCUGCUCUUUUUGGGAAUAUUUUUAAUAUUAAAAUAACAACAGUUUUGAGCUUUGAAAGAAGCGUGACUUUUGAUGCCUUUCUCUUUUGAGGAGGACGAAGUGGCUUCUUUGAAGGUACGCCUGGUUACUGUUCUCAUUUUAACGGAAAACCGUAUCGCUUUCUUGGAAUUUUUAUGUUCAUUCACCUUAUCAGCUUUUAUUUCUUUUUGCUUUGGUUAAAACCCUCUUCCUCUUCACCUUCCUGUUUUCUUGGAAACCAUGCAAGGAAAUGGCCAUGUUUGGCUUGUGUUCUUUACCCUCAAUCUGGCUCUGAUUUGGGGUUUUCUCCAUCUGGUGUUCCUGAGUUUUGACCCCAAACGAGAGUCCAAGAAGUCGAGUCUACAAAGGGGUUUUGGAUCUGGUAGUAUCGGCUGCUUUCUUUUCAGUUACUGAAAAACUAUGGGUCACUCUACUCCUUGUGGUGGAAAUUGGAAGUCAUCUUUUUCUUAUUUUCUGCAAAAAUAUGCAAUAUUUCCUUUUCAUUAUUGAAGGCUUGGUAGCAGGAAAGUUCCUAAUGCAGAAUCAUAUGGGAUCAAAGGAAAUGUUCAGAUAUGGAUUCCAGUAAGUUGCAAUUCGCAUGGUUCAUCCUUGAAAUUCGAAGGGAAUGUGGAAUUCGGAUGGACCAUCAUCACUACUUUAAAACCAAAAACUAGAAGCAACUACUUUACUCCCUAUCCUGGGGAUGCAACUAGAAGCUAACAUGUUGAUUUUAGCAAUAAGUUCAUAAUUCAAAUAGCAGCUGAAAUUGUGGGUUCACGAAAGGUGGGAAGCUGUUUGUUGGGGAGAAGAAAUUGAAGCUAGGAGGUGUGGAGGGAAGAUGUUCAUCAUGAUUGAUACUUCUGUUACUGUUAACAUUGUUUUGACUAAAAAAAAUUCACUAUUUACUAUUUUUCGUUUUAA